GGAAAAAGCUAGUCCACCAUCAGCCACAAAAGAACCAGAACAUGGGUAUGUUAAUAUGCCAGGAAUAAAGGGUAAUAAGAAAGAAAACGACGUCUAUGAGAAUGUUGCCGGGAUUAAGAUCAGUAAAGAAGAAGAACAUGUGUAUGAGGAGAUGUCACACAAUAAAAGGAAACAAAACAAAUUAAAUGUUUUCUGUUAAAAGGUGAUCAGAUGAGAAACUAACAAGAGGAAGACAUUUUCAGCAUGGUUUUGCUGUUGUGCUUCUGGUUUUGGAGUUUAAUGGAUUCUUUAAUUUGUUAAUCAUGUACCCUAAUGUGAUAUUGUUCUAAAAGAAGUGUAACUAUAAUUCUCACUAUAAUGUGUACCUCAUAAAUAUUCCAUUUU